rnacentral:rRNA from 1 species
UACGUAGGGACCAAGCGUUGUUCGGAUUUACUGGGCGUAAAGGGCGCGUAGGCGGCGCGGUAAGUCACUUGUGAAAUCUCUGAGCUUAACUCAGAACGGCCAAGUGAUACUGCAGUGCUAGAGUGUGGAAGGGGCAAUCGGAAUUCUUGGUGUAGCGGUGAAAUGCGUAGAUAUCAAGAGGAACACCUGGGGUGAAGACGGGUUGCUGGGCCAACACUGACGCUGAUGCGCGAAAGCCAGGGGAGCAAACGGG